AAAGGUUCCUAUUUCCCGUGGUGAGAGCUUGGGCCAGGCACAGUGGCACGUGCCUGUGGUCCCAGCUACUUGGGAGGCUGAGGCAGGAGGAUCGCUUGAGCCCAGGAGUUCUGGGCUGUAGUGUGCUAUCCACUAAGUUUGGCAUCAGUAUGGUGACCUCCCAGGAGUGGGGGACCACCAGGUUGCCUAAAGAGGGGUGAUCGGCCCAGGCUGGAAAAAGAGCAGGUCAUCAUGAGAGAUUGGAAGCCCUUUCGCCAACAGAGAACCACUUCUCAAGGCCGAGAGGACAACACCU
rnacentral:SRP_RNA from 10 species